GGCGCCGGGCGGGCGGGUGAACCCAGCCAGUCCCCUCCCCGUCCCCACAACCCCCGCCUCCGGGUGGGGGCGACCCGGCCUCUCCCCGCCGCUGCCUGGCCAGCCCCGGAGGGAGGCUGGGCAGGUGCCCUCUGCCGAAAGUGCUGAAACCGAAAACCGUCGCCACUCAAGGAGAAUUGAGGCAAGUGGGGCCGCGACUCAGCUCUGCGACACCCUGCCCCCAGCCUCGGCCGGGGCUCCUGCCGACGCGCCGCACCCCGCCUGCUGGGCUGGCGGCCGCGACUUGGGAGUGCAAAGCCGGGCGGAGGGCGGCUGCGAGGCGCGCAGCUUUGUGCGCUGGGACAGGGCCGGGCGCCGCGGGGCGGGCGGCCAGCCCGGGGCUGUCAGAGGCUCCCCGCAGAACCGAGCUCCGCGCCGCCCACGGAGCCCACCUCGCUGCCCCGCGACCGCCAGCGCCUCUCCGCUCUGGCCCGAAGCACGACGCCCGCAGCCGGGAGCCCCUCCGGAGCCGGCUGACCCCAAAUGGAUUCCCAACAGGUGGCCGGGAGAGACAGACCCACCGACUGACGGACUGACAAUGGCCUUUUACGAACAAACUGACCUGAAGUUAGACGCAAGUCUGCAUCUUUCUCCCUCACGCUCAUGAGAAAACACAUCAACAGGAUUCCAGGAAGGCACCAGUCCCCGCACGCUCCAUCUGAGAAUCGCUUGCAGCCGCAGGCCCCGCCAAAAUUCGCCGAGACAAGUCCCAGAUGCUGUUUCGACCCUUCCAGAAGGGAGCAAGGCUCAGGAUCGAUCGUCGGAGGGUCUGCCUGUUCCUGGAAUGUGAAGAAGUUGGGCAGAUGAAGAUGUAAGAGAGGCCUAGAGGGCCCCUGGGCUAGGAAGCCCUAUUAACCUCGCAUCCCACCCAAAGCCCCGAGUUUGCAUUUGCACACCUCCUCCUCCCCAAGCAGAUCCAGUGGGUUGCACACGUCAGGCUUAAGCUGAGUCACCUGACGGUACGUGGAACGUACAUGCAAUUGUACGCGAACACACACGGUAGAAUUAGAGGACCACUAAGAACAGAAUUUGGGGAAAAAAGAAGUGUCCACAGACAGAAUCAUUCUAGCGCACGGCCCAGUUGUCCAGAUGCUGACAAAAGCCACAGUGCCGUUGCCCAGCCACAGGGGCAUACGUAGAGAGAGAGGGCCGGGCGGAUGGAGGAUGCAGGCUUCGAAGCUUCCUGCUAGAGGGAUGUUGCCUCCCUAGGGAAAAACUUUGUUGAGCCGACUGGGUGAAAGGUUUCAGGUCAAGUCCAGGAGACUACAAAGAGCACCUCCUCCACCCCAAAGCUGACCCUUUUCCCUUCCUCCCAGCUGGGCUGGAGACACACAGAAGAAGGCAAUCCGGGAAAGGUUCAUUUGGACCGGGAUGGUUUAUUUGUUAUUAUUAUUGGUUUAGGAGAUUGCAUUCUGAAGGAGGAUGGGGUGGAGAGCAUAGGUGCAUCACUCAGUGAGCACCUAAUACCUAAUGUGCACCUAAUGCCUGAUACAAACCUUGGGCUCUAAUCGGGUUCAUGAAGUGGGAGGGCCCUGAUUUUGCCCCUACCACUCCUCUUACGCUAAAUUUAGUCUUUAAAAAGGUUAGCUCAGCUCCACACCUUCCUGCCUUCCCUUCCAGCCCAGUCCCCUUUGUAUAAAAUAAUUCUGCAAAAGAACGCUCUAAAGAACACCGAAUUAUUUUUAUUAAACUACUUUUCUUAGUGCGAUAUUGGGAAGUUCUGACCCCCUCCUCCCCUGUCCCAGGCAGAAGUCCCUGUCCUGGCCCAGUGCGGGUAGGGAUUGAAGUGGAGGGAGUGAUUCUCAGAGCAGCUCUCCUAGAAAGCCCAAACAAGCACACAGAUUUGUUUUUGGUUUCAACUCCGUUUGCCUGCCUAGUUCGGGCGAACCUUCCAGACAGUAGGCACCGAGGUCUCACUGCAGGAGAGGCAGGCACAAUGGAUGCAAUGGUGCCCUCCCUUACACUUCACUUCCCUCCCCGACUCUCUCUUUCUCUGAAAGUAGGGGGUGAGUUUGGGAAGAUUCUUUUAGACAAAAAAAAAAAAAAAAGGAAAAAAGAGGACGUUCUGGGCCAGCAAGUCGGAUGACCACCCUGCAAGGGGCAGAGGAAGGACUGUCUCCUGAAGAAGAGAUGAACCAUCUGGAAAACACAGCAGGAGGACACUUUUAAACAAAUGUAGUUGCCCUAGAAAUGGAGGGGGCUUAGGAGUAUGAGUAGGGAAGAAGUUCUUUCCUUUGGGGGACAAACACUGUGUCCUUUGAAUUUUUCCCAAAGAUACACUUGAUUCCUGGAAAUUGUAGUAAGUUUGUUCUUGUAGAUGUUCUAACAAUAAA